rnacentral:rRNA from 1 species
CGAGUUUGAUCAUGGCUCAGAUUGAACGCUGGCGGAAUGCUUUACACAUGCAAGUCGAACGGUAGAGGGGGCAACCCUUGAGAGUGGGCGAACGGGUGAGUAAUAUAUCGGAACGUGCCCAGUCGUGGGGGAUAACGUAGCGAAAGCUACGCUAAUACCGCAUACGAUCUACGGAUGAAAGCGGGGGAUCGCAAGACCUCGCGCGAUUGGAGCGGCCGAUAUCAGAUUAGGUAGUUGGUGAGGUAAAGGCUCACCAAGCCAACGAUCUGUAGCUGGUCUGAGAGGACGACCAGCCACACUGGAACUGAGACACGGUCCAGACUCCUACGGGAGGCAGCAGUGGGGAAUUUUGGACAAUGGACGCAAGUCUGAUCCAGCCAUUCCGCGUGCAGGAAGACGGUCCUAUGGAUUGUAAACUGCUUUUAUACAGGAAGAAACCCUCCCACGUGUGGGAGCUUGACGGUACUGUAGGAAUAAGGAUCGGCUAACUCCGUG